rnacentral:rRNA from 1 species
UAGGGAAUCUUCGGCAAUGGACGGAAGUCUGACCGAGCAACGCCGCGUGAGUGAAGAAGGUUUUCGGAUCGUAAAGCUCUGUUGUAAGAGAAGAACGAGUGUGAGAGUGGAAAGUUCACACUGUGACGGUAUCUUACCAGAAAGGGACGGCUAACUACGUGCCAGCAGCCGCGGUAAUACGUAGGUCCCGAGCGUUGUCCGGAUUUAUUGGGCGUAAAGCGAGCGCAGGCGGUUAGAUAAGUCUGAAGUUAAAGGCUGUGGCUUAACCAUAGUACGCUUUGGAAACUGUUUAACUUGAGUGCAAGAGGGGAGAGUGGAAUUCCAUGUGUAGCGGUGAAAUGCGUAGAUAUAUGGAGGAACACCGGUGGCGAAAGCGGCUCUCUGGCUUGUAACUGACGCUGAGCUCGAAAGCGUGGGGAGCAAACAGGAUUAGAUACCCUGGUAGUCCACGCCGUACGAUGAGUGCUAUUAGACCCUUUCCGGGGUUAGUGCGUAGCUAAGCAUUAAGCACUCCGCCUGGGGAGGUACACGGA